UGAAAACGACUGCUAAGACUGGAUAGGAAAUAAAAAGGCAUCUUUUUAUUUUUAAAAGACCUUCUUCGGAGGGUACGCUUAAAGAGGGGCUUGCGUCACAUUAGUUAGUUGGUAGGGUAAUGGCCUACCAAGACGAUGAUGUGUAGCUGGACUGAGAGGUUGGACAGCCACAUUGGGACUGAGACACGGCCCAAACUCCUACGGGAGGCAGCAGUAGGGAAUUUUCGGCAAUGGAGGAAACUCUGACCGAGCAACGCCGCGUGAACGACGAAGUACUUCGGUAUGUAAAGUUCUUUUAUUGAAGAAGAAACAAUAGUGGAAAAACUAUCUUGACGUUAUUCAAUGAAUAAGCCCCGGCUAACUAUGUGCCAGCAGCCGCGGUAAUACAUAGGGGGCGAGCGUUAUCCGGAAUUAUUGGGCGUAAAGGGUGCGUAGGCGGUUUAAUAAGUCUCUAGUUUAAUUUCAACGCUUAACGUUGUUCUGCUAGAGAAACUGUUUAACUAGAGUGAGAUAGAGGUAAGCGGAAUUCCAUGUGUAGCGGUAAAAUGUGUAAAUAUAUGGAGGAACACCAGAGGCGUAGGCGGCUUACUGGGUCUUUACUGACGCUGAUGCACGAAAGCGUGGGGAGCAAACAGGAUUAGAUACCCUGGUAGUCCACGCCGUAAACUAUGAGUACUAAGUGUCGGGGUUAAACUCGGUACUGAAGUUAACACAUUAAGUACUCCGCCUGAGUAGUACGUACGCAAGUAUGAAACUUAAAGGAAUUGACGGGAUCCCGCACAAGCGGUGGAUCAUGUUGUUUAAUUCGAAGAUACACGAAAAACCUUACCAGGUCUUGACAUACUCUGCAAAACUAUAGAAAUAUAGUGGAGGUUAUCAGGGAUACAGGUGGUGCAUGGUUGUCGUCAGCUCGUGUCGUGAGAUGUUAGGUUAAGUUCUAAAACGAGCGCAACCCCUGUCGUUAAUUGCCAGCACGUUAUGGUGGGGACUUUAGCGAGACUGCCAAUGAAAAAUUGGAGGAAGGUGGGGAUUACGUCAAAUCAUCAUGCCCCUUAUGAUCUGGGCUACAAACGUGAUACAAUGGCUAUUACAAAGAGUGGCUUAAACGCGAGUUUUUGGCAAAUCUCAAAAAAAUAGUCUUAGUUCGGAUUGAAGUCUGCAACUCGACUUCGUGAAGUUGGAAUCGCUAGUAAUCGCGAAUCAGCAUGUCGCGGUGAAUACGUUCUCGGGGUUUGUACACACCGCCCGUCA
rnacentral:rRNA from 1 species